CUCCUGGGCCUGACCCUCAUUGGCUCAGACCCAGUGAUGUACUCAUCUCUGAGCCAAUCAUGGUGGGCAAGGGGAGGGGCUAGCUGAGGGGCUUAGACCAUUCCGGAUCCACGCCUGGAGUGCGCAUGGGCUUUCCCAGAAGUCGCCGCAGUCACAGACGGACAGACAGCUAGAGCCCUGCCGUAGCAACCCGCCAACGUUCCUCUGCCGCAGUCGAUUCUGGAUCAUCCUGAUGUCCCUGGAAACUGAGGCUCUUGAAUCUAUGACACUUUACAAAUAGAGUCUGAGGCCCUGACCUGGGACGUCCCCAGCAAGGGAGAGCCCCGCAGUCAGGUCACCGGUUAGUUAACACGGACACUGCAGUGUCUGGAAAGGGAACAGUGGCCCCAACGAUAUGGUUCUGAGAACCUAGGACCUGCUCACCGCCCGGUGCCCAGUGGGGGCCUCCUUCGUGGGUUCAGAUUCAUGUGUGGAUUUUGAUGUCUCCAACCGCAUGACAUAGCAGCCUUGAGAAAUUUCCUCUUGGUUAAAGCAAGAGACCCUGGUAACACCACCCCACCAGGAGAAGGAAGAAGGCACGGGGUUGUGGGCUGGGUAGCAGUCUCGGCCACCGCCCACCCUGCAGCCACCCAGAUAUCGGCGCUCGCCCUUCUGCUGCACCCACGACCCACCCCCGCCGCACCCCCGGACACAGCGGCAAAGCCCCAGCCGGUCCCCGCAUCUGCCUCAAAACGCAGGGUCCCAAGGAUAACGCGGAAAACCUCCCCACCAGAAACGGUUCGACAAGCUACGAACCAGGCAGUCCCCGGCUCCCAGUCCACCCAGCAUAAGGCGGGUGAGUGGGAAGGAGACGCCGGCACGAAAAACCCCCCUCUGGAGCAAAGACUGAGAAGCACAACCUCCCCUGGUCCAUCCACGUGCGCCAAUCCGAGCGGGAGGAACAGCCAGGACGCCACGGCCCCCCGCCGGGGUCCUCGCCAGAGUGUUUGUUCCAGAACGUGUGGACCUCUGAUCUAUCAGUUGCCCAUCAGCUCUAGCCGUCAAGGCUGAAGUGUCCAGCCGUCUUCACUCACUGGCCUGCACGCGGCCCCCCCUGUCUCCUGGCGCGAUGUCCUGGCCACCCCGAGCCUCUGGGGGCCACGGGCUUUGCUGCGAACUUCACACGUCAGUGGGACGGGGCUCGGUUUUCUUUUCUGCUAAGUGUGCUGCUUUGUGGAAAACCAUCCCAGUUCCAGAUGCCGUGGGAGAGCCUCGCAGUUGCUUUUUCAACCCUGCAAGGCUCCAAAUUACCAAGCUCUCGGUCACUUUCAGUGGCAGGCUGCAGGCAGGGAGCAUCUCCAUCAUCACAGGGCGUCCCCUCUUCCCACGCCUACCCCGGCCGCUCUCUCAUAAAGCUUUGCUAACGGCAGCAAGCAGCAGCUACCACGCUUCUGCGGUAUGGCUCUCUCCUGUCAUUCCCUCCCUCGAUCCGAGCUCAGAACACGGGCCGCUUUUCAAAAAACAGUAGGGGACAGCUGUUAGCAACUGCAUCAUUUCUCCACGCUGUCGCCAGGCCUCUGGCCCACAGUGUUUGAGUCCCCGACACCUGCCAACAUCCACGGAGUCAGUGCCACAUGUCUCUGUUCUGCUACUCACAGCUCACCUCUCUUGGUCCUUUUUUUUCUAUCAGUUAAGAUUAGAUUUGCCCGGAAAAUCCAAAGGAGCAGUGGCUUCAACGGGACUUUUUAAUCUCCCGCAUUCUGAGUCCACAGUAAGGUGGUCCAUGGAUGGUCCAGUGGGACUCCAUGGCGGCAGGAACCUACCCGUCUUCUAUCUUGCUGGCGUGCCAUAUAUCAGCGCUAAUGGUGAUGCCCAGGAUGGCUGCCUCAGCGCCAGCCAUCAAAUCCUCAUUCCAACCCAGUCGAAGAAGAAGAGUGGGAACAGACAGACACAUCUGCCCUCAUCAGGGACACUUCCAGGAAGUUGCCUUCCGUUGGCCAGAACUUAGUCGCGUGGUCAUACCUGGCUCAAGGGAGGAUGGAAGGGUCACUUCCAUUGUGGAUGGCAGAAAAGUCAAGUUUCUGUUGAGGAAUGAGAGGUGAUGGAUUUGGGGGCAAUUAGGCUCUGCUUAUGUGGAAAAGUUCAGUAUCAGUGUCUCUCCUAUUCUAGCUCUAGAAUUCUCUAGCCUCCUCCUCCUUCAGGACAGAUUUAUGCCUCUGACAUGCACCUUGCAGAAGAGACAAUGACCAGACAAGGUGUGCAGUCUUCUGCCCACGCAUCAUUCUUGAGGAUGCUUUUGCUACACCUACUUCACGGGGACAUAAAGUGAGAGUCUCCGGGCUACUGUUUCUGUUGGGGAGAUUUUAACAGCUAGGAGGGCUUCGGUGCUCAGUGAAUCACAGAAGUGACCGAAACAAACACCUCCGAUGAGAAGCACCCAUAAAACCAACGAGACUAUUAAUGCAAAUAGAAAACCAACAUUGACAAAAUGCAAAAUAUUUACCUUCCCAGACUGCAGCUAGUCUUGGACUACUAAGUCAUUUAGAGGCUAAUGUUCUUAAUAAAAUCACAUUUUCCCUGAAAAUA